rnacentral:rRNA from 1 species
AUGACGAUCCUUAGUUGGAAUAGUCGAGGCCUCGGGCAACCUCGCACAGUUCAGGAACUUGUGUGCCUCGUGCACACGUACAAGCCCAAACUCGUCUUCCUCACUGAAACCCGGCAAAGCAGUAAGUACGUCAGCAAUCUCAAAUGGAGGCUAGGCCUCUGCCAUUGUAUCCUGCAACCCGGCAUUGGAAAAGGUGCCGGCAUUGCUCUUUUUUAUGAUGAGUCCGUUGAAAUAAAGAAGAUUGCCGGAGGGGCGAGAUACAUCGAUGUGUUGAUCCGUUUAAAUCCUAAUGGCCUCCAAUGGAGGGGCACUUUUGUCUAUGGUGAACCAAAAGCACAUGAAAGACACCUAAUGUGGACUCUGUUGAGAAGGAUAAAGAAUACCAGUAACCUUCCUUGGAUGAUAAUGGGGGAUUUCAACCAAACCAUGUGGCAAACAGAACAUUACUCGGUUUCAAAGAGGACUGAAAGGUAUAUGGAAAAUUUUCGUGAUGUACUUGCUGAUUGCAACCUCUUUGACUUGGGUUUUAAGGGCCCAGGAUGGACAUACAAUAACAAACAGAAGGGUAGGAACAAUGUUCGCGCACGGCUGGACAGAAGAGUAGCUUCCCCAGAAUGGUCAGACUACUUCAAAAAUGCGAGGGUCAAACAUAUAUGCUCCUCACGAUCUGAUCACUUGCCAAUCCUCCUU